UUAACUUUAAACUUAGUGUUACCUUAUUUAGCUUAAUUUAAUUUUGUCUUGUUUUUAGAUAUAACUUGACCAUUGAUGCAAAAAGCAAGUUGUCCCCAAAUCAGAUCUCUGCAAAUAUGGUGAGCAAUUAACUAUAUGCCCCAAAUUUCUCAACAUCAGGGUUGCUUCUGAUGCAUGCAAGCCUAAAGUCUGGAGACAUAUUUCCUGACAAUGAUUAUUAUCUUCUUUUAGAGUCUGUGCACUGCUUAUCUGCACAAAGUAAAGCAACUUUCAAACAAGCCAAAUCAACAUUCUUGCUUUAUUUUCAAACCUGAAGCACUUCCAUGUCUGUUCUACUUGAUAUAUGCAUGAAAUUGCAUAACUGUUUGACAAUGAUUCAGAGAGUUUUGGAGACAUCAGGAAGAAAACGUGAGACAGUCUGUUGGAACAAGAAUCACAUUCCCUCGUAGAGGGCCAGAAAGCUCCAGAUGAACAAUCCAGUGAGGAGUGAAUGCAUGUUUAGAGAGGUCAGACUUUGCGUAAUAGCCCAAAAGGUGACUAACCUCAGAAACUAUGUUUGUAACCAUCGUAUUACAAAAACAAGGAAUACCGACACAGGUGUUAGUGCCUCCUACUUUUGAAAGUCAUGACCACUCCUGGAUCUGGUAUAGCCAUCCUUUGAUCAGGGGACAAGAAAUCUAAGGAAGGGAAAUCAACAUAAUGAAUAUGGUACAGCAAUAAUGUGAGAACCCCCAGCUUGAUGAUGUCUUUGAGCUCUUGGACUAUCUUUGAAACUGUCUUCCUCUGGACUUUUACUAUGUAAAAUUAAAA
rnacentral:lncRNA from 1 species